AGAAAUGAACAUGUAUCUUGACCCCUCUGCCGCAAAGACAGUUUUGGAGUCAUCACUGGACAUAAAACUUAUCCCGCUCAAUGCCCAACGCAAAGCAAGUUCUUUCUCCGAAAUCCUACAAAGAUUGGGCAAGACAAACAGGACACCUGAGGCAUUGUUUGCCCACCGUUUGCUGUCAAGGCUUUACCGGCUCCAACAAACUCACUACAGAUACCAUCACAUGGUAAAAUCAUGUCUGACAGCUAGUCUCAUGUUCUUUCAGUACCACACAUGAAUUAGUGUAGUCCCAAAAGAAAUGUGUCGCCUGCUUUAUCAUUACUGGUUUUCCUGCUUGGUAUUCAGAACACUAUUAUUCUGCAGGAUACAUUCUUAGGAGAAAUUAUUGGUGCUGUAGUCUUAGCUGGGGAUUCCAAGCUGAACCCAAUGUGGCAAAUCAAGCCUAUUAAGGUCCUGGCUGAUGGUGUUGAAUCCAAAGAUGGACAAGUUAUGGUAGAUGAAGAAGAAGGAAAAAUGGUGAAUAUAUUGGAAACUAUAGACCCUGCUGACCAUUAUGAUAUUUUUGCAAAUCAAUUGGGAGUUGCAAAGCAAUCCGCUGUGAUAGGAAGCUUUGAGGAGCAGAGGAGAAUCUGGAGUGCUCAACCAAAUUCUUGAAAAUGAAGAGUAUACUUGAUAAUUAUUCUGAUAGCUGGAAGUUGUUUGUUUCAUGGGUUAGAUACAGAAGCUUCAUCAGUAAGCCUAUACUCUUGUCAAUAGAAACUAGCAACAGACUGAUAAUUGAUGUAGAAAGCAUUCACUGUAUUUUGUACUUAGAUCUGCAAAAGUAUAAUAUUAGCUUAGAAAACAUCAAACUACACUACUAGAUUUGAUUACUCAAACUGACUAAUAAAUCGAUUCCACAUGAUAUUGGGCCCCACAGUAUAUACAACGAGUAUGCGUGGACGUACAUGGAAUUUGCAAUAGCAAUGGCUAUAGAUUAAACCAUUUCUCUAUAAGUGUUAAGUCACUUACCAUAUAAAACAUCAUUAUCUCAAACUGUUUCUUCCUAUUGGCGUAUUGGGUAACUACUAACUAACACAUAAUUGCUUCUCCUUAAGACUCUUUGCUUGCUGCCAUAUAUAUUCCUUCACAUCUCAAACCAUAUUACCUUCCAUAUUAAGGAAACUCCAACUGGCUACCGUCUCUCCUAUCCUUCUAAGCUUUUUCUUUUUUCCUCUCUCUCUCUCUCUCUCUCUAUAUAUAUAUAUAUCCAUUUUUUUUUUAAAAAAAAUAUUCGAGAGUGCUCAGAUGGACAAUGUAAUAGUUUUGCAGGACGCUUGAGGGUUGUGAUUGAAAAUGUUAUUCCUGAGGAAUUUCUGGGUGGUUAUUGUAUUGGUCACUGGACGAAAUGCUGCUGCUAAUUUAGACAGGGUUGAGGGUAGGCCACAUCGGAUUCUUCUAGAUACAGACGUUGAUACUGAUGAUUUCUUUGCUCUCUUGUACAUCUUGAAGCUUAACAGAUCAGAGUUUGAGUUGGAGGUGAGACUUUUUCUUUUUACUGUUUUCAUUUUUUUUCAAGUAAAUUACACUUUAGUUUUUAAAUUAUAAUAUAAUUAAUAAAUUAAGUCCUGUAGUUUUAAAAUCGAAUAUUUGAACUCUCUAUUUUUUAUUUCUUCCAAAUAUAUAAUUUCUUCAUCCAUUUCUCCAUUAUUUUAAAGAUAAAUGACAAAUUUUUAAAAAUUAUUUUUUCUUUCCAAAUACUCUGUAAAUUUAUUUUUUUCUUCCAUUUCUCCAUAACAUUAUCUACUAAUAAAAUUUUAAUUUAUUAUCAGUUUAUAUUUAUUAUUCUAAUACUCAUUUUGAUAUUUAUUAUUUUAAUAUUCAUUUCAUAUUUAUCAAAUAUUUAAAUAACAUCAAAAUUAUCUAAUGCUCUUAUAUCAUCCCUUAAUUAAAUUAAAACUUAUUACCAAUUAAUAUUUAUUAAUUUAAUAAUUUUUUCAUAAUUUUUGAGUAUUUAAAUAUAUUUUAAUAAUUCUUUCUUCUUAAUUUAAUUGUUUCAUGCUUCCUAUAUUUUAAAUUUAAAAUUUUUUAUUAAAAUCUUAAUUAAUUUAAACAAUAAAAUUAUCCUCUACUUUAAAAUUCAAAUAUAAUCUAUGAUACUUAAAAGAAUUAUAGAUAUUUAAACAGGUCCAUUAUUUUGUUGCUUUGGUACUAUUUUAUAUUAUUUUUUGAUAUGUAAAUUCUAAUCUUAUAUUACAAAUUAGUUCAAGAAAUAAUAUAUUAAUGAAAAAUAUAUUAUUGUUAUUAUUUAAUUAAUUUGUUAAUUUUAUAAAUAAUAAACAGCAUUAUAUAUCGUUUUAUUUAAUUAUUAAUAUAUAAAAUAUGAUCUUGGAAAUUAAAGAAAAAUAAAUAUAUUGUUAAUUUUUUAUAAAAAUAAUCAAAAUUAUUUUAAAAGAUUUUAAUUCUUUUAUUUUCCUUUUCAUAAAUUUUCUUGAAAAUUAAACUGUGUUUAUUAUCCAAAUUUAGGGUCUUUUAGCAUUUCCUUGUCUUAAAUGAGUAUUUUUGGUUUGAGAAUUGAGAUAGAUAUACGUAAGAAUUCGGGUUUUAUUAUGAUGUGGGCACAGGCAAUCACAAUCAACGCAAAUGCAUGGAGUGAUGCAGGGCAUGCUGUGAACCAGAUCUAUGACAUUCUUUACAUGAUGGGCCGCGAUGACAUAGCAGUUGGAGUAGGAGGUGAGGGUGGAAUACUGGAAGAUGGUACUAUACUCCCAGAUGUUGGUGGGUAUCUUUCUAUAAUUGAACAGGUGAAUUCAAGCAGGCUCUCUCUACAAGAUAUGGAAAAUUAAUAUAUAGUAUAAUGUUGCCCUGCCGACGAGGAAUAAAUUUUCAUUGGCAUAUUAAAUAGGGAAAUUCAACAGCAGGAGGUUGUAGAUACAGACAAGCUAUUCCUGUAGGUCUUGGAGGCCGACUAGAUAUUGAUUCUAAAUAUGGCUUAAGGAAAGCUUUCCUACCGCAGGUAUGAACUUGGAGACAUCAUGUUUGUGUAAAGGUCCACAUGACUUUCUGGGAAACGAAACCCAGGAAAUGUGUGGUUCUGCAAUCUCUCCAUCCUUUCCUAAUUUAUGUUAUUUUUAUAAGGAGCUGAGCUGAGCUGAUAGAUUCUGUUGAUAAACCAGGGUAGCAGGAAAUAUUCUCCUCUUCGACAACCUACAACUCAGCAAGUGAUGAUAGAUAAAAUAUCUGCAGGUCCCAUUACUAUCUUCAUGACAGGAGUUCAUACGAAUUUUGCCAUUUUUCUUAUGAAAAAACCACAUCUAAAGCAGAAUGUUGAGCAUAUAUAUAUAAUGGGAGGUGGGGUGAGGUCGGGAAAACCAACUGGUUCCUGCCCACAAAGUGCAAGUUCAUCUUGCCUGCCUUCUCAGUAUGUUGAACGAGGUAACCUGUUCGCAGAAUACGAUUGCAAUCCUUAUGCUGAGUUUAAUAUCUUUGGAGAUCCUUUUGCUGCAUAUCAGGCAAAUAAACAGACGACUCUUUUGGAGACUAUAUGAUCUUUAAUUUGUCAAAGUGUUAGUGAGACCUAUGCUUGUAUUUUCAGGUGAUCCAUUCUGGAAUACCACUCACCCUCGUACCCCUGGAUGCAACAAACACGAUUCCUAUAAAUGAGGAUUUCUUCAAGACAUUUGAAAAGAGCCAACAUACGUACGAGGCACAAUACUGCUUCCAAUCCUUGAAAAUUAUUCGUGAUACAUGGUUUAAUGACCAAUUUUAUACGGUAUUUUCUUUAAGAUGUUUCUUUGUUUUAAUAUCCUAAAAAGCUCAUUCUCAAAAAGUUGUCGUGUAAGGCCAACAAUUUGGAGAACUUUCUGGCAGAGCUAUUUCAUGUGGGACUCGUUUGCGUCGGGCAUAGCCGUUUCUAUCAUGCGCAAUUCACAUAACCAAAAUGGAGAAAAUGAAUUUGCUGAAAUGGAAUAUAUGAACAUAACUGUAAUCACUUCAAAUGAACCUUAUGCGGCAUAUGACGGUUCAAAUCCAUUCUUUGAUGGUCGUAAAAUCCCAAAGUUUAAUCUAAAGAAAGACGGAGUACACAGUGGCCAUGUCCAGACAAGCAUCAGAGAUCCAUUCUGCAUUGUGCAGAGUGAGAAGGAAAGAUGCCAGGUGACUAUUUAAUGCUUGAUUUCAUUUUCUGCUUGUUGGGGUAACUAAUGCUGUAUUUAUGAAGAUUACCUAAUGACCCAUGUUUUAAUUCUUCAAACUUUGAUGAUCUUGGACCAUUUGUUCUCAUAACGGGAUAGGAUGGCUAUACAAAGGAGAUAAAAGGUUCGGAGGGGGUACGUGUUCUUGUUGCUACCAGAGCAAAACCUAAUCCUGACAAUAGUAGUAAACUUGACAGAGCAUAUUUCAAGAGUUUCUUGGAUGUAAGUUCACUUAAUUACUUAUUUUCUUCCAAAAUGUUUGCUUGCUUGAUGUGCUGAGGAAGUGAUUGAAACUUUUUCAUGGAGGUUCUGAAUCACCCACAACAAACUGGGAAGUUCAAUUUUACAACACAAUUUCCUUACUACAAAGAGGUUCUAUACAAACCAGAUUUUGGCAACAAGAAAUUGGGAAAACCUAUUGUCUUUGACAUGGAUAUGAGUGCUGGAGAUUUUCUUGCUCUCUUCUACCUUCUUAAGUUACCUGCAGAAGAGAUCAACCUCAAGGUAAGUGGGACGAAUUUUCUAGCUAAAAGGAGCAUAAAUUGUCACCCACUCUCUUAUGCAGUGCUUGAUUACAGUUGUUUCAACAUACAAGCCAGCACAUUACUAAUUAAAUUUGCAACCUAUUGGUAUUUUCUUCCAGGCUAUCAUUGUAAGUCCAACCGGGUGGGCAAAUGCUGCAACUAUAGAUGUGGUUUAUGAUUUACUGCAUAUGAUGGGUCGUGAUGACAUUCCAGUGGGCCUAGGAGAUGUAUUUGCUAUGGACCUGUCUGAUCCUAGAGACUGCAAGUAUGUGAAGGCCAUUCCACAAGGCAGUGGCGGAUUUUUGGAUUCAGAUACCCUAUAUGGGCUUGCACGCCAUCUGCCACGAAGCCCUCGAAGGUGAAAUUGUGUUAUGUGGAUAUUGUUUGUGAUAUUUGUUUGCUUUUGGACUCGGUAUAUUUUUGUUCAUAUAAAUUUUUUCUCGUCAAAGGUACACAGCUGAAAACUCGGUAAAGUUUGGAGCUCCCCGCGACACAGAUCAUCCUGAACUCAGACAGCCUCUGGCACUUGAAAUUUGGGAUUCCGUAGUGAAAACAUUGGAACCAGGAUCUAAGAUUAGCAUAUUGACCAAUGGACCAUUGACUAAUUUAGCAAAGAUUAUUCAAUCAAGGAAAAACACAAGCUCUGUGAUUCGGGUCAGUGAAGACGUUACCUUGUGUUAAGACUUAAGACAACAUUCUGUUAGGACUUUUAUCCAUAAAAUGUGCACAGUUACCUGUAUGCAGUGAAGUAAUUAAAGUGGCUGAAUUUCAUUGCAGGAUGUGUAUGUUGUUGGGGGACACAUUAAUCAUGGAAAUUUGGACAAGGGAAAUGUGUUCACUGUCCAUUCUAAUGAAUAUACAGAAAUGAACAUGUAUCUUGACCCCUCUGCCGCAAAGACAGUUUUGGAGUCAUCACUGGACAUAAAACUUAUUCCGCUCAAUGCCCAACGCAAAGCAAGUUCUUUCUCCGAAAUCCUACAAAGAUUGGGCAAGACAAACAGGACACCUGAGGCAUUGUUUGCCCACCGUUUGCUGUCAAGGCUUUACCGGCUCCAACAAACUCACUACAGAU
rnacentral:lncRNA from 1 species